rnacentral:misc_RNA from 1 species
CAAGAGCCCCGUGCCUAUGUCUGGGAGGGAGGGAAGAUGGCAGCCGUGGCGGCAGGCGGCCUGGUGGGAAAGGGGCGCGACAUCAGCCUAGCGGCCCUGCAGCGCCACGACCCCUAUAUCAACCGCAUCGUGGACGUGGCCAGCCAGGUGGCUCUGUACACCUUCGGCCAUCGGGCCAACGAGUGGGUGCGUGCGGACGCGGCGGAGCAGUGCAGCCCAGGGUUGGGGUGGAGGCGGGGGGCGUCAGACUCAGGACUUGAGGACCCGGAGAAAACUGAUGUGGAAGGAACCUUAUUUGUUUAUACAAGGUCUGCUUCUCCAAAGCAUGGAUUCACCAUUAUGAAUAGGCUGAGCAUGGAAAAUAGGACAGAACCUAUUACUAAAGACUUGGAUUUCCAACUCCAGGACCCUUUCCUUCUCUACAGAAAUGCCAGAUACCUUAGACCCUGAACCCCAACACUUAUCCUUGACAGCUCUGUUUGGGAAGCAGGACAAAGCUACAUGUCAGGAAACUGUGGAGCCUCCGCAGACUCUCCACCAGCAGCAGCAGCAGCAGCAGCAGCAGCAAGAGAAGCUUCCAAUUAGGCAGGGGGUUGUACGCUCCCUGUCCUAUGAGGAACCCAGAAGACACUCACCCCCCAUUGAGAAGCAGCUCUGUCCAGCCAUUCAGAAACUCAUGGUCAGGAGCGCAGACCUCCACCCAUUGUCAGAGCUGCCUGAAAACCGGCCUUGUGAAAAUGGCAGUACCCAUUCUGCGGGAGAAUUUUUUACAGGACCUGUCCAGCCAGGGUCUCCUCACAACAUUGGAACUUCUCGUGGUGUACAAAAUGCUUCCAGAACUCAGAACCUGUUCGAGAAACUUCAGAGUACCCCAGGGGCAGCAAACAAGUGUGACCCUAGUACACCAGCACCUGCCAGCUCAGCUGCCCUGAACCGCAGCAGAGCUCC